rnacentral:rRNA from 1 species
GACAGAGGCCACAAGCGUUAGGCGGAAUCACUGGGCUUAAAGCGUGUGUAGGCGGACCGUUAAGUGCUUUGUGAAAUCCCACGGCUCAACCGUGGAACGGCUUGGCAUACUGGCGGUCUUGAGCCACCCAGGGGCAGCUGGUACAAGCGGUGGAGCGGUGAAAUGCGUAGAUAUCGCUUGGAACGCCCGCGGUGAAGACGGGCUGCUGGGGGUGAGCUGACGCUGAGACACGAAAGCCAGGGGAGCAAACGGG